GGGAACCUUUAACCUGACUGUCUCACAUGUAGAGCCAUCAGAUUCAGCAACAUACUACUGCGCUUUUAUUCACCUCUUCAAUGAGAUUAGCUUUGGAAAUGGAAGUACCUUAAUGGUGACGGGGCCAGAGUCCCAGAGCAGGACAGUAGUGCUGCAGCAGCCCGAGUCUGAGUCAGUGCAGCCAGGAGACUCUGUGACUCUGCAGUGUACAGUACACACUGAGACCUGUGCAGGAGAACACAGUGUGCACUGGUUCAGACCGGGCUCAGGAGAGUCCCCUCCAGGAAUCAUUCACACCCAUGGACACAGGAGUGAUGAGUGUCAGAGGAGCUCUGGGACUGUGUCUCCCACACAGAGCUGUGUCUACAACUUCCCCAAGAGGAACCUCAGCCUCUCUGAUGCUGGGACUUACUACUGUGCUGUGGCCACCUGUGGGGAGAUCCUGUUUGGGAACGAGACCAAGCUGGAUGUUGAGAGUAAGCCUUAAAUAUUAAUUAAUUAAUUCAUUCAUUAUCCUAACCCGCUUAUCCUGAACAGGGUUGCGGGGGGGCUGGAGCCUAUCCCAGCAUGUGGGAGGAAACCUGAGUACCCGGAGCAAACCCACGCAAACACGGAGAGAACAUGCAAACUCCACACAGAGGCCCCGACCAACCGGGAUUCGAACCCAGGACAUCCUUGCUGUGAGGCGGCAGUGCUACCCACAGCACCAUCCGUGCCGCGCAGCUUUAAAUAUACAGUAUUUAAAUACAGUAUACAGUUUUUACAGUAAUCCCACUUCAAAAAGUGCAUAUGCAUUGGUUAAUGCUAUUUCACCCAGGAGGUGUGACCAUCCUUUCCCGGCUGUCCAUC